GGUAGGCAGUGAUCAGUGGUACGAAGAGAGAGACCUGGCAGUGGUAAGGAGUGAAUAGGAAGUGUGGAGGCUUAGUCAGAGCAAAUGUCUUGAGUCAUUUGGGAAUGAGGGCAUUUAUUCCAAUGAGAGACUCCUGUGUUCACUCAAGCACAUUGAGGGUUUUCUCCAAGGAUUUCCUUUAGAAGGAGACUUUGUGUAUUUCUCCUAGGAUCUUCUCUCAACCCCAGGAUAUAGUAUAGCCCAAGCUCAGUCCUUCCUGACUUCACUGCUGUGAGAAGUUACCAUCUUCUCCCCUAGGCACUGCUUGGAUGAGGAGGAGACAUUUGAGGAGGACUUUGGCUUUAUUUUGUCCCUCAAGUGAGCAAGCAGCCCUUGGCAAGCCAGGAAGAGUGCUCUCACAGGACCUCAAUCAUGCUGACACCGUGACCUUGGACUUCCAGCCUCCAGAACUAUGUGAUUAUGGAGUGGUCUUGAUUACGUCUUGAUCCAUUGUGGUCAAAGAGUGGCCGUGUCUGAUACUGAUAGACUGUGGAGUUGUUUGUGUUCAACACAGAACACAAGACUUGGCUGUGAGUGACAGCUUUCCUAACAGCCCUGAAGCAGUGGGGACUUCCACAAACCUCUCCCAAGAAUCUGACUCAGGAGAAGGAACACUUGUGUGAAAAGAGGAGGACGGGCAUCUGGACGAAGUAGAAAUCAGUGUGCAGAUGCCAUUGAAGUGGCAGCAUCACAGAGCCAGGAGAAGGAGAGAUUCAUUUGUUAAAUUAUUUUUAAAUAAUUGCUACUGUUAAGACAUAUAUACGUAUUUUUUCUCACUGCAAAACUGGAGUGGUGCUCUUGUGCCACUGAAUUGCUAUAAUGGAUAUCUUUUGUUUUUGCCUUCCAAGUUUCCAUUCCAUCUCCUUCAGGUAACAGCACCUGCUUUAGCUCUGGAUGUCUUGCCGUCCCCAGUGAGAUGAAGUCUUGUUGGAACUUUCAAUCAAGAUGCCCCAAGCAUGUUCCCCUGGGUCACAUGACCCAAGUCAGAUUAGUCAAGUACUUCUUCCCUGGAUUUUGAUUUUUGAAUGGAGUGAUAAAAAAGAUGACAACCCAAAUUCUUUAUCAUGGCCUACAAAACUCUCUGUGAUCUACUCUCUGCCUAUCUCUCCAUUGUCAUCUUCUGCCACGCUGCCAUGAGUCACAAUGUCACCACACUCCAGUCCCACUGGCCACCUUUCUGUUUCCUGAACCCACCAAGCCUUUUCCAGCGUGAGGUCGCUGCACUUGCUGUUCCCUUUGCCUGAAAUUCCCUUUCCCUUUUAUUUCUCAGCUGGCUUCUCUUUCAUCCUCCAGACCUCUACAUAAAUACUCUCUUUAUAAGAUUCUUUCUUUGAACCAUCUUAUUUAAAGUAGGCCUCCGUUAUUUUUAAUUUUCCCAUGCUAUUUUAUUUUAUUUGUUACAUACUCACUAGCUGACCCCUUGUUUAUAUAUUUGUUAAUUUCUUUAUUGUCUACUUUCUAUAAAGUAUGAGCAUGACAGCAUCAAGUAAGUAGAAGCUGCGUCUGUGUAGUUCUCUGCAGCAUCUCCAGUGCAGGCAGAUGCAGAGUUGUUGAUGAGUUCUCAUUUGUCCUGGAUCUUCUUAUUCUGCAUCCAUCUCUCCUUCUUGACUUCUGGUCCUGCUGAUCAAAAUUGGCCCCAAGCCCACUACCAGAUAUAGCAUUGUGAACUCACAGGGGUGGUAGCCCAAAAAGCCAGUAAUCUUCCAGAGAAAUUCCUCAUCAGCCCCCUUCAUGGUCUUUCUCUAACAGUGGAUGUGCCUAGCUUCCAGAUUUCUGAAAGCCCUGACUCACUUAGUUAUUCCAGGGCUGGUUUCUCUGAUUCUUUGAUUCCCUAUUCAGAUCUUUCUCUUCCCAGCCCCUCCCACCAUUGUGUAAGGUCUAACUCCUAUAAUGAAUUCCUUAUUCCAUAAUCCUCAUGGAGUUUUCUUCCCUGAGUGAACUGUGAUACAACUCUCAAGGUCACCUCAUGGCUCAGGACAGCAUCAGGAGGUUCAGCCACCAUCUCCAUAUUGCAGGCCAGAAGCAGGUCAAUGACAGGUGGGCAGAAGGAUGCUGUGGUAGCCAGAAUCCAAGGCAAUCCCUAUGAUCCCACCUCCUUGGAUUCACUCUCUUGAGUGCUUCACCUGACCUUGGAGGUUCCCUUUGCCCUGCCCAAUCACCUGUAGAUAGGACUACUAUUACCCUCUCCAUGGUUAAGCCCUGUGACUUUGCCAUCUAUGUCCUGCUGGAGCCUGACUGAUACAGCAAGAGGAGGCAUUGCCCAGGAAGUACCAAUUUUUCACACCCCCUGAGAGUGAAGGCAGAUAUGAACCCAAGGGACAAUACUAUUUUCUCAUUGCCUGGCUUCUUGGAUCAAAAUUGACACCUUUGGGAGUAAACUCCUGGAUUCCUGGACAAUUUGGGAAGGAGAGGUAAAUAUUGGAUUCUUGCUAAUAUAGGCAUAUGAAGUCUCAAGUGAUUAACUGAAAAAUAAAGAUUGGGUACUGUUUGUCUCCCCCCAAGCUGAAUAGGUUGAAGCCUAACCCCCAGUGUGAUGGUAUUAGGAAACAGGGCCUUUGGGGAGAAAUUAAGUUUAGGUGAAAUCAUGAAGGUGGAGCCCCCAUGGUGAGAUUAGUGCCAUUAUAAGAAGGGCCACCAGAACUUCCUCUCUCCAACAUGUGAGGACACAGGGAGAAGGCAGCCAUCUGCAAGCCAGGAAGUGGGCCCUCAUCAAGAACUGAAUCUGCCAUCAUCCUAAUCUUGGACUUCCCAUCCUCCAGAACUGU
rnacentral:lncRNA from 1 species